UUUUGCAAAGCAAAAGUGUAAGGACCCAUCAUUGACCGUGCUUUACCCCGGUCAUUGUGUCCCAGUAUCUGCGACCCCGGCUCCUGAUCUUGGCAAUACCUCGGAUAUUACGUACAACGACACCAAAGACACGGUUACUGCCAUCCCGACUGACCCAGUACUUGACGCUUUCUGUGCAAACAAGGACGUCAUUGUGUGUCAGGAUGACCUUGAUCCCCAUAUGUGGCACUGAUAACCAAUUCUACAAAAACAAUUGUGAGUUUGCGAUGGCCCGUUGUGACAAUGCUGCAUUGAGCACACAGGCAUUAACAGUAUGUAAAGCUGCAUUGCGUGUUAGGAGGAUUCUGAGACUCUCGUAGAACAUUUAAGAGAGAAUGGAUUUAAUCCGUCCAUUAUUUAUUCAUGUCGUGCUUUUGAGUUAGUCACAAGGGGCGACAACUUGACAUUUGACCGAAUGAGAUUACGAACUAGUGUUACACGACUGUAUUAUAAAGAGGCUCGUCUAAACAUCAAAAGAACACUUACAUUUAGCAGAAAAUGUAAAGUAAAAUUCAGUGAGUUUUAGGCAGUAUUUAUUUCUACGUCGUCUGUAAAAUAUAUUAUUUAUAUUU
rnacentral:lncRNA from 1 species